CCCCACAGCCAGGAGCAUGGAUAUAGAUGGGAUCCUUGCUGCCCUUAGGGCUGAGGCCCUCCAGGACGGUAGCAGGCACCUGCAGGCCCAGCUGGUAAGGCUGCAGGGUGCCUCAGUGGUAGCUGCUCCCCCUCUCGGCAGCGAUGGAACACCGCGCCGCCGGGCGUGUCCCCCUACCCGUUAUAGCCCCUCGCGGGAGGGCCGGGUGAGGGACAGGAGCAGGAGUCCCGUUGCCGGCCCGCGCGCCAGGUCCCACGCGGCCGCGGGCGCCAUUUCAAGUCAGCAUCCUCUCGCCUCCUCCCCGAGGCGGUCUCGCAGUGCCCGUCUGGCAGCCGCUUCUCGGGGAGGUGAUGGCCGUCCCGUCCCGGUCCCUGCUCCUCCAAUCUCGCACGCCCUCAGAAG